GACGAACGCUGGCGGCGUGCUUAACACAUGCAAGUCGAACGGAAAGGCCCUGCUUUUGUGGGGUGCUCGAGUGGCGAACGGGUGAGUAACACGUGAGUAACCUGCCCUUGACUUUGGGAUAACUUCAGGAAACUGGGGCUAAUACCGGAUAGGAGCUCCUGCUGCAUGGUGGGGGUUGGAAAGUUUCGGCGGUUGGGGAUGGACUCGCGGCUUAUCAGCUUGUUGGUGGGGUAGUGGCUUACCAAGGCUUUGACGGGUAGCCGGCCUGAGAGGGUGACCGGCCACAGUGGGACUGAGAUACGGCCCAGACUCCUACGGGAGGCAGCAGUGGGGAAUAUUGCACAAUGGGCGGAAGCCUGAUGCAGCAACGCCGCGUGCGGGAUGACGGCCUUCGAGUUGUAAACCGCUUUCGCCUGUGACGAAGCGUGAGUGACGGUAAUGGGUAAAGAAGCACCGGCUAACUACGUG
rnacentral:rRNA from 1 species